CCGUGAGUAAAGUGGCGUACGGGUGAGUAACACGUGGAUGAUCUACCUCUUAGUGGGGGAUAACCUUGGGAAACCGGGGCUAAUACCGCAUAAGCCUGAAAAGGGAAAGGAGCAAUUCGCUGAGAGAGGAGUCCGCGGCUGAUUAGCUAGUUGGUGAGGUAACGGCCCACCAAGGCAAUGAUCGGUAGCCGGCCUGAGAGGGCACACGGCCACACUGGCACUGAAACACGGGCCAG
rnacentral:rRNA from 1 species